rnacentral:rRNA from 1 species
UAGGGAAUCUUCCACAAUGGACGAAAGUCUGAUGGAGCAACGCCGCGUGAGUGAAGAAGGGUUUCGGCUCGUAAAAACUCUGUUGUUAAAGAAGAACAUAUCUGAGAGUAACUGUUCAGGUAUUGACGGUAUUUAACCAGAAAGCCACGGCUAACUACGUGCCAC